CCUACGGGGGGCAGCAGUUGGGAAUCUUGCACAAUGGGGGAAACCCUGAUGCAGCGACGCCGCGUGGAGGAAGAAGGGGCUAGGCUCGUAAACUCCUUUUUCAGGGAAAGACUGAGGACGGUACCCUGAGAAUAAGCUCCGGCUAACUACGUGCCAGCAGCCGCGGUAAGACGGAGGGAGCGAGCGUGGGCCUGAUUUACUGGGCGUAAAGAGCACGUAGGCGGUCUGUUAAGUGAGAAGUGAAAUCGCCAGCGCUCAACGCGGAAACGGCUUUUCAUACUGGCAGACUUGAGGGAUGCAGAGGCAAGUAGAAUUCCUGGUGUACCGGUGACAUGGGUUGAUAUCAGGAGGAAUACCAAUGGCGAAGGCAGCUUGCUGGGCAUCAUCUGACGCUGAGGUGCGAAAGCGUGGGUAGCAAACAGGAUUAGAUACCCGAGUAGUC
rnacentral:rRNA from 1 species